UACGUAGGUGACAAGCGUUGUCCGGAUUUACUGGGCGUAAAGAGCGCGCAGGCGGUCGAUCAAGUCGAGUGUGAAAGCCCCCGGCUCAACUGGGGAGGGUCAUUCGAUACUGAUCGACUCGAAGGCAGGAGAGGGUAGUGGAAUUCCCGGUGUAGUGGUGAAAUGCGUAGAUAUCGGGAGGAACACCAAGUGGCGAAGGCGGGUCUCUGGGCAAUUCCGUGACGCUGAGGCGCGAAAGCCGUGGGGAGCAAACGGGGAUUAAGAAACCCUGGUAAC
rnacentral:rRNA from 1 species